rnacentral:rRNA from 1 species
CCUUGGUCAUUUAGAGGAAGUAAAAGUCGUAACAAGGUUUCCGUAGGUGAACCUGCGGAAGGAUCAUUACAGAAUGAAAGUGCUUAACUGCAUUUUUUUUACACAUGUGUUUUUCUUUUUUUUUGAAAACUUUGCUUUGGUGGGCCCAUGGCCUGCCAGAGAUUAAACUCAACCAAAUUUUUAUUUAAGUCAACUGAUUAACUAAUAGUCAAAACUUUCAACAACGGAUCUCUUGGUUCUCGCAUCGAUGAAGAACGCAGCGAAAUGCGAUAAGUAAUAUGAAUUGCAGAUAUUCGUGAAUCAUCGAAUCUUUGAACGCACAUUGCGCCCUUUGGUAUUCCAAAGGGCAUGCCUGUUUGAGCGUCAUUUCUCCCUCAAACCUUCGGGUUUGGUGUUGAGCGAUACGCUGGGUUUGCUUGAAAGAAAGGCGGAGUAUAAACUAAUGGAUAGGUUUUUUUUCCACUCAUUGGUACAAACUCCAAAAUUCUUCCAAAUUCGACCUCAAAUCAGGUAGGACUACCCGCUGAACUUAAGCAUAUCAAUAAGCGGAGGACA